UACAGAGGGUGCAAGCGUUAAUCGGAAUUACUGGGCGUAGAGCGCACGCAGGCGGUUGGUUAAGUCAGAUGUGAAAGCCCCGGGCUCAACCUGGGAAUUGCAUUUGAAACUGGCCAACUAGAGUACGUGAGAGGGGGGUAGAAUUCCAAGUGUAGCGGUGAAAUGCGUAGAGAUUUGGAGGAAUACCAGUGGCGAAGGCGGCCCCCUGGCACGAUACUGACGCUCAGGUGCGAAAGCGUGGGGAGCAAACAGG
rnacentral:rRNA from 1 species